UGCCAGACUCCUACGGGAGGCAGCAGUGAGGAAUAUUGGUCAAUGGGCGCGAGCCUGAACCAGCCAAGUCGCGUGAGGGAGGACGGCCCUACGGGUUGUAAACCUCUUUUGCCGGGGAGCAACGGGCGUCACGUGUGGCGCCACUGAGAGUACCCGGAGAAAAAGCAUCGGCUAACUCCGUGCCAGCAGCCGCGGUAAUACGGAGGAUGCGAGCGUUAUCCGGAUUUAUUGGGUUUAAAGGGUGCGUAGGCGGGCUGUUAAGUCAGCGGUCAAAUGUCGGGGCUCAACCCCGGCCUGCCGUUGAAACUGGCGGCCUCGAGUGGGCGAGAAGUAUGCGGAAUGCGUGGUGUAGCGGUGAAAUGCAUAGAUAUCACGCAGAACUCCGAUUGCGAAGGCAGCAUACCGGCGCCCUACUGACGCUGAGGCACGAAAGCGUGGGUAUCGAACAGGAUUAGGUACCCCAGUA
rnacentral:rRNA from 1 species